UUAUUAUUAUUAUAUUUAAUUUUAUAUUUAUUAUUUAUAUUUAAUUAUAUGAUUAUAAUUAUAAUUUAUAUAAUUAU
rnacentral:tRNA from 1 species